CUUGGCUUGUGUGACGUCUGCUCAGAGAGCCAGUCCCAGCUGCCUUGCUUGCUGCGCAUGCGCGCGUGUAUCCGGGCGUGCCGCGGUGCCGCUGCUUUCGGGACUCGGGUCUUUGCAGAGCAGGUGGGGACAGGAACGGGGUGGGGCUUGGCGUUAGUGUUUCCGCUAGAGUUUAGUCUUUGUGUAGGCUUCAUGGUGGGAGAAUUUCCUCCCGGGACAGUAGUAGCAGCGUUUUAGACUGGAAGAAAGCCCAUAAAUUGCCUUUCGGAUCCUAGCCAUCCAGAGGCAUCUUUUAAGAAGUUUCUCUCGGAAUGGGGCCUUCCCAAUCCUGUUAGAGCGCAAUGCCAUACUUUUAGAAGAUGUCAGUGCUGUGGAAUGAGAUGGCCAACCAUCAUAUGUAUGCUGCAACUCAGAGAUACAGCUGUGAAUUCUCAGAAUACGUUCUACUAUGCCUUAGACAAAACUCAACCAUUCUCUUCCAUGAUGUAGAAUGGCUACUAAAAAGGAAGAAGAAAAGAAAGCUUUCAGAGGACAGUGGUAAACAAAUGCAUUAUGAUUUACUUAACAGGGAACUGUAAGUUUUUUAUGUCCAAGAACAUAGAACUUGCUUUUUUAAAAUACUUUCUAAAAAUUUUCUUUUCUUUUGUUUCUUUCUCCCCCCCCCAGAAGAGCUAUAGAGGUGAGUUGUAUAUUUUUUCUUCUGCUCUUUUUUUUUUUAAUUGAAAUAUAAUUAACAUACAGUGUUAUGUU
rnacentral:lncRNA from 1 species